CAAGAACCCCCUGGAGCUGAUUGCUGCUCUGUGAACGCACCAAGGUCAGGGGAAGGAAAUCUUCAAUAGUCGACAGCCUCAGGUAGAAAUGGAGAGCUGGCCACCUCUAGGGAGCGGCUGUCAGUGAAGAAGGGGGUAUUGCUAACAGCUGGCAUACUGAGGACAAAUGAUCCAACAACAGUCUUGGGCACCCAUUCUUCCUGGACAUCAGGAUUAGACUGGAACCCUGUUUCAGGAGGGUGUCUUGCUUAUUUACCAAAAACACUAAAUGGAAGGCUCAAUUUUUUUCUACCUUCUCUGGUCUACAGCUUCCUUUCAAGUUCCAAGAGGGGCCUUACUC
rnacentral:lncRNA from 1 species